GAUUAACGCUAGCGGCAGGCCUAAUACAUGCAAGUUGAACGGCAGCACAGGUAGCAAUACUGGUUGGCGAGUGGCGCACGGGUGCGUAACACGUAUGCAACCUACCCUAUACAGGCGAAUAACCUUUAGAAAUGAGGGCUAAUACGCCGUAGUAUUACAGAUGGGCAUCUAUUUGUAAUUAAAGAUUUACCGGUAUAGGAUGGGCAUGCGUCCCAUUAGUUAGUUGGUAAGGUAACGGCUUACCAAGACGAUGAUGGGUAGGGGAUCUGAGAGGACUUACCCCCACACUGGUACUGAGACACGGACCAGACUCCUACGGGAGGCAGCAGUAAGGAAUAUUGGGCAAUGGCCGCGAGGCUGACCCAGCCAUGCCGCGUGCAGGAAGACGGCCUUAUGGGUUGUAAACUGCUUUUAUACGGGAAUAAUAGAGUGUACGCGUACAUUUAUGCAAGUAUCGUAUGAAUAAGCAUCGGCUAACUCCGUG
rnacentral:rRNA from 1 species